rnacentral:rRNA from 1 species
AUGGACGCAUCUACAUCUCCUACAACACCACUUGGACCUAUGACUCGAGCAUGUGCAAGAGCUCUCGAAACCGAGGUGACAUCACUCCUCUCACAACUCCCUUUCGAUUCACACGAGACAUGGCUACUACCUCAAACGGAGACGCUUUGCAUACUCAGGUACCAUGGAGAAGCUAGGAAGCAAGGAGAACCGGAAGCGGAAGACAUGCGUGAAGAUGAAGAGGAGAAGCACCAAGUCCCAGGCUGGCCGGACGAUCCGGACGAGGGCCCGGACGAUCCGGACAGAGCCCGGACGAUCCGGAUGAAGGAAAUAUGCCCUAGAGGCAAUAAUAAAGUUAUUAUUUAUUUCCUUAUAUCAUGA